AAAGCCGACAUAAAAUAAUCUACAAGUCACAAACACCUACGGUUCAUCUAUCCAACCGACUUAGAAAGCCUACGGUUUAUAUAUAGAUCUUGUUUUCAUCACAUUACUUGAAACAGGGGAGAAAGAAUCACGAGAGUGACUAAGGAGCUGCCUCUCUCAUGUUAUUUAAUGCAAUGAGGAGCGAGUGCACUCGUUUUCCCCCUAGUGGAGGGCUAAGUCCCUACCAGUCAAUCUCAGAUAAGGCUUGUUAGUCGAUUGCCGAUACACAAUUCACUCUUUUUUUAGCAAAAAUUAAUCUAACAUAAAAUGUAACAUGAAACAUUAGCUUUUAAACAGUAUAGUUAAUAUAUUUACGUUGGUCUGUUUUUUAUCUGCAUGAACUGCUAUGAAUUCACUGUGAAGCUUUGUUACUGUAAACUGUGCAUUUCUUACCACACUAUUGUUCAAAUGAAAUCAGCCUUAUAACAAAUAACGAACAGUGACUGGAUCCUUCUUGGAGCUGCAUACACUGUAAAUUGCAUUUACGCCUUUUUGUUGUCCCAACGUUUGAUUUCAUGUUAAUAUAACAAGGCUUUUGUAUUGUUGUUGUUAUAAAUUAGAAUAAUUAGUUAAACACAUCUCAACAACACUAAAAAUGUUAAACAAUAAUUUUAUGUCCAGUCAAGUAAAUUAUCCAAGUCUACUUGACUUUUGAGCAUUAAAAUAUAUGUCCACUGGGUGGCGGUAAGUGGCGCAAAGUUUGUUUCGCAUGUGCCUAUGAUAACGGAAGAAGAAGUCAACGGAGCUCUCAGCUCAGUCAAGCAGUCUUUCAUGCGUGCAAUGUUCUGUCCAGAAGGACUAACGACUCCAUUUAGGGUUAAAACCAACUACUUUGUCCAUCUAAAGGUGACACUGAACCAGUUCAACAGAGGCCCACCACUUUGGUAAGUUUUCUUUGGGUUUAUGUUGAAUUUGAAUUUGUUAGUUGUUAAAUAGCAUUAGCUUGAUUAGUCAUAGUGAAAUGAAUAAAUAAAAGGUCUGAACCUGAAAGUAAAUCAUGUAAUUCUAAGUUUAAUGUUGAAUGUAACUUAGUAUAUCUUAUAUUUGAAUGUUAGAAGUAGGUAACUCGCUGUUUGUUGGUUAGCAUAGCAGGGUUGGCGGGGAAAUUGUUUUGGGAAAUGUUUACUCGGUAACACGUUAAUUAACCUUUUUUCCGAAAAUGUAUACUCAUAAAAUUAAGCUAAAUGCUCAAAGCCGGGUCCACAUGUGCGCAUCUGUGGCGCGAAACAGCAGCGGAAUCUCGCAGCAUCUCAGGUGUUCUCCUCGCUAAACUCCGUACGUCACGUGACCCUCAGAGAGUAGACGCCAUGCAUUUACUUCACACUUUAAAACCGAAUAAAUUGUUUUAUAUAGUCAGUAUUCAUUUAAAUAAUGAAACAGAAAUAAUUAAUCAAAAUAUUAGGUGAUACUUGCAAGUUAGUUCUGUGAAAUGUUGACCUCAUUAAUCAUGAAUUAUUUACCUAAGUUUUACCUAUUUCAGAUUCUAUUUUAAAGGUGCCCAUGAUGAAAAGGCCUUUUACACCGUAUGAAGUGGAUCUGUAAACUUGGUACUUUUUUCUGUGGAAAUCUAUUUCAGAUCCAAACAAUCCUUGCAUGUCCAUCUGAGAGAUCAUGGACUCAAUGAAAACACUAAUGGACUAAUAAGCUUUAAGCCUGGUAUUUGGAGCACCUUCAUUGUUACGAAUUCUGCAAGAAAGAUCCAGAUCAACUGAUGGCCACUGAACCCAGUGAACUGAACCACUACCUUCCACUGUCAUCCUACGCUGUCCAAGGCCGACUGGUGAUUUCUCCAAAGGUGUUUCUUGUACAUUGAGACAACCUUGUAAUGUAGCAAGUUGGUGAAAUGAUGGACAUCACAUUCCCCCUACGAAGAAAAGAAAUAGUUGAAAAUCAACCUCCUGCAGCUGAAGUCAAAGAAGGGUGGCCAGCCCUGUUCAAAGAACAGCAGAUUGAAGCAGAGUUUGCUCGGCUGACAUCUGUUGACCUGAAGAAGUCUUUCUUCAGUGGACUGGAUUAGCAUUUGCCAAGGUUCCUGGAGCUGUUCAAGGCCAAGAGUGGGAAAUCAGCUGGACAAAGCAGGCAGCUUAAAUGUCUUGAUGACUCCUCUAUACUGAGGAAGAGGUCAGUUGUUCUUCCGGUGCCUUCCGUAUUUUCUCAAGGAUGAUCCUUCAAAUGCAUUCAAGACUGUUCAGGCCAUUGACGAGGAAGCCACAUUCACUCGGGGAAUGCAAGUUGGAGUUCUGCUGGUGAAAGAUGGAGAGGACAUCAUUGCCACAUCAGUCAUUCUUGAGGAACAAGUGGUCCUGCCUGAUGUGGAGGACAUUCCUCAUGCCAUUGCUCUACUGUUGGGUCUGCUUUUUGCCUUUAAUAUAGACUAUCCAAAGGAACUCAGGUACACAUUUGAAGUUUUUCAAAAGGUCCUGAUGAACAUCGGCAGAGGUCAGUGUUCCUUGUGCAUGGUUUGAGAAACAGACUGUUACAAAAAACCAUGUAGAUUCUCCUGAAAUGUCUCAUCUCAUGACUCAUGGGUGUCUGAGCUUUUUGAAAGCACUCAACGUUUCAUGUUAAACAUUGUUCCAAAGGUCAUGUAGAAGUUUGGCACAUGGUUUGGAAUUCUUGUUUUGUUAUUUCAUCUGUUUAGGUUUAUUCCAUCAGAAAAUAUAGUCAUAUCAGUUCAAAGCCAAUCAAAUGCAUAGGUUGAUAAAAAGUAUUGCAAUAAAGAGGUCAACAUAAGACCAAACGAUAGAUGACAAGAUUAAAAUGUGCACUAUUUGUUUAGAACUACUAUUUUGAAUAGUAUCAUUUUGAAUUUUAUUUUAUUGUUUUUAUUUGUGCAAGGUUUUGUCAGAUGCUUUAAAAGUUUAUGCACUUGAAUUAAUGUGCAAUGACUUGUCUCAUUUAAGACACUAAAUAUGUUCUAACUAUAAGACCUUGAUAAGCUGCUGUGUUAAUGUUUUUUUUUGAGUGCAGACUGUUCUAAAACGUUUUCACUAUUCAUUACAAAACAAAACAGCUUCAGUAAAUGUUGCAGAGCUGUAACUUCAUUACUGCUAAAUAAAUAAAAAAACUAGCUGAGUUGAUGAA